UUGGAUUAAGAGAUAUGCGGUUAGGAUGAUGUGGGCCCUUUAGGUUGAGUAGCUCCUAAUGUUUUAAAAGUACCCAAGUUUUGGUGCUGUAGAUUUUUAGCCAUUGGAUUAAGAAAUAUGCGGUUAGGAUGAUGUGGGCCCCUAGGGUUGAGUGGAUGGUUGGUUGAAUAGUAUAAUCUAAUGUUGAAAUGAUCCGAGAGUAAAUCUAUACGUAAAAAAUUUACAAAGCACCAAGUGUUUGGUACUUUUACAAGCAUCAUAACUGGACUAUAUAUAAUUUGUUUUCAAAAGUUUGAAAAGUCUAGGUUCGAUAUUUUUGAUAGAUCCAAGAUGUGAACUUAACUAAAUGAGAAGAACUUUAAUAACACUAAGAGUCCGACUAGACGCGAAUUUAGGACAUCUGCUCUGAUAUCAUAUUAACUAGUAAAUACCCGCGCGAUGCUGCGGAUAUAAAAUAUUUUUAUAAUAAAUUUUACUUUUUUUAAAUAUUUUAUAUAGUUUUAUAAGUCUAAUUAUUAAUAAAUAAAAUUAUAUAAAAAAUAAUUUAAUAUAAUAAUUUAAAUAAAAUCAUUAAAAUUGAUAUAUGCGCAAAGUAAAUUUAUACAACAAUUUUAUUUUAUAAAGAUACAUAUGAAAUGAUUUGAAAUAAAUCUAUCAAAAAUAAUUUUAAAAAAAUCAAUAUAUGAAGGAAAAUAAAAUUAUAAAAGAAAUUGUUUAAUAAAAUUAAUUAUAUAUAAACAUAAAUACACUCAUAUUUCUAAAAUUUUACUCCUAGAAAUUUAAAUAUUAUAUUUUUUAUACAACGAUAUUUACAUGAUUUAAAUUACAUCUAUCAGAUUAGAUUUUAUUGCGCGAUUAUAUUCGUAUUAUUAAUAAAUUUGAAUUUAAAAUAUAUAAAAUAUAAAAUUAAAAUUUAAAAAUUAAAAAUUUGAAAGUAUCAAAAUUUUAAAAAUUUAUCAAAAUUUAAUUACAAUAACUGUUAUACAAUUUAUUAAUAAAUUAAUUUAUAUUAUUAAUAUAUAUAUAUUAAUAUAUAUAAUAUAUAUAUUAUAUAUAUAUCUAUUAACCUAUAUGAAUUCCAAUGUUUAUUGCUACGUGCAAGUUCUUCUUCACCUCACUAGCAUGUGACUCUUUUUCUUCCUUCACCAAUUUUCAAUAUGCAUUUUAACGAUCCACACUAACCAACUUUCAUUUAGUGUAUCAAUUGUAUCGUUUCUAUCUACAAUUAUUCAUAAUGAUCAUUCUCCUUCCCUCAUUAUAUUCAAUUAAUGCAAACGGUCCAGUACCUAACUUCCAAUUAAUAUAUUUAAAUGGUCCUUACCAUCUACAAUCCUAACAUCUUUAUCUCUAACUAUUCAUCAUGGCCUUUUCCUUCUUCCACGGACUUUCAAUUCUUUAUCUUCAACUAUUGAUCAAUUCUCUAUCUCUCAUCUUUUGGCUAUACACUAUCACCUCUCCCCCCCCUCCUCUCUCUCUCUCUCUCAUCUCUCUCUCUCUCUCUCAUGAAUGCGCGCCCAUUUUCCCCCUCGUCGCGGUCGGAGGAUCGUUGUCGCGUCACUAUUACCAUCGCGAGAAGGCAUCGUGGGCCCAUAUCCUACGCCAACAUUAAGAGACCUUUGUGGGUGUACCAAGUGAAGAUACACACGAGAAUGUUUAAUAUUUCAAUAUAAUUAAUUACUGCUACGGUUUCUAUCGCCUGCAAAGCGCGGCCCCUCACUAGUAUAUAUAUAUGUGUGUGUGUGUGAGAGAGAGAGAGGAGAAGUGAAUGGAGGGUUGGGACAGGUGUCAACCCUCCUUUAAUGUAAUAGAAAUAGAAAUCAAAAUUUAAUUACUAAUAAGCUGUUAUACAAUUUAUUAAUAAAAUUAAUUAAUUAUAUAUAUAAUUAAUUAUAUAUAUAUAUAUAUAAUAUAUAAUUUUAUAUAUAUAUAUAUAUAUAUAUAUGAUGUGUGUGUGUGUGUGUGUGUGUGUGUGUGUGUGUAGAGAGAGAGAGAGAGAGAGAAAAUGAAGUGGAGGGUUGGGGGACAGGUGUCACCCUAAGGUUCCCCAACCUUCCUUUAAUGUAAUAGAAGAAAAUAAAAAUAGAUUAUAUGAAACAAUCGUUUCUCUUAAAAACUUAAACUGCUAGAAACUAAUAUUUUUUAUAUCUAUUUUCAAUAGAAGGCCUAGUCUCUUUCGGAUUCGCCUCAUUUGCAUCCCUAAUCUUUAACAGGAUUUUGCAUUGGUUGGCAAUUUUUUUGGUUGUGUUAUUAUCUCCACGUACAACCACAUAUAGAAAGAUCGAGACAUUUUUAUGUAGCUUAUAUUUCGCUAUUUAAAAAUACUACUUAUCAUUAGUCAGUCUUUUACUAUGACAUUUUAUGAAUCUUUUAAUAUUUAAAAAUUAAUGUCUCACUUUAGAUUCUAUUCUUGAAAUUUUGAAAGCCAAAUACUAAUUAUUUAAAGAACCUAAUAAAUAUUUUUUCAAUAUUUUUGGUGUAAUGUGGCGUCAAUUAUUUUUUCUUUUUGUUCGUUAUUGCGGUGAAGAAAUAUUAUGUUUGAUUCAUGUACAUAUAAUAUCAUUAGAAAGAACAAAAUAUUAUAUUUACUUCGUAUGUAAUAUAACAUUUAUAUCUCACAAUGAAAUCAAUUACGAAUAAUAUUUACAAUAUCAUAAAAAAAUAAUAAAUAUAUUUUAUAUACUUUCAUCUCAAAUUUAUUUUAUAUUAUAAUUAUAAUAUUAGAUUGACUUUUUUAUUUUUUUUUAUAGUGCUUUAGUUACGGCAAAUGUAGCAUGCGCACUUCAAUUGAAUGAAAAAAAAAGAAAAAAAAGAAAAAAAAAAAGAGGAAUUAAUUCAUAUGGUCCCUCCCACUUAUUUAAUAAUGGACAGAUGCAUGAAGACAAAUAGUCAUUUCCUUUUCAGAGGUAUAAUAAAUGAAUGCUUAUACUUGUCCUCCUUAAAUUUGAUGUUUGUAUGUUGGUUUUUUCAUUGGCACCAACUACCAAAACUCUCUCUCUCUCUCUCUUCUCUCUCUCUCAAAAUAAAAAUAUGCAACUUGAACUAAUUAAAAAAAAAAAAAACUAUAAGUAGAUAGUAAGUUGUUCAUUUAAGAUUUCGUUGGUUCGGGAUUAAGUAAAACUAGUUAUUUCAAAGAUAGUAUUAAUAUUCAGGAUUAAGGUAGGAGUAAAGUAAUUUUGUGUUUGGUUAAGAAUUAGUAGUAGUUCAGAUAUAAGUAAAAUGUGUUUGGUUGAAGUAGGUGGAAUAAAAAGAAUCGUGGGUUGUUAUAAAUAGAAAUAAAGAUUUUAAAGAUUACAAUUAAAUAUUUUAAAAUUUUCAAAUAUCAAAUAUCAAAUUUAAAAUUAAAUACUUUAAAUUUAAAUUUUAAUUUAAAUUUAAAAAUAUAAUAUUAAUUUUAAGAUUACAAAUUAUAAAUUUUAAAAUUUUUUAUUUAAAUUAAAUUUCAAAAUUAUAAUAAAAUUAAUUGGCGUGGAAUUAACUUUAAUCCUACCCCUAUUUUUGGGGGAGGUAAAAUCAUGUUUGGGUUUAAAGGUGGGGAUAACCCCCUUAUCUCCUCCUUUAACCCUAAAACAAUAUAUUAAGAUUUCUAAUAUUUGAAUCGAUUAUUUUUGCAGCAAUGGUGCAGACAUAAUUAUUUGGACAAAAUAUUGGUUAUUUGUUAUGACUGAAAACAGAUCUAUUUUUUUUUUUUCUGUCAUAAUAGGCAGUUCAUAAUAAAUCUAACGCCAAGAAACUCAACAAUAAAUCUAAUGUACAAGUGAGUUGAGUCAUAUCGAUAUCCGUGACAGCCGUGUCCGAGCCAUUAAGUGAGAUGAGGCGUACUCUUUCUAUCAGCACGUAAUUUUUAAUAAUUAAAUUAUUAACAUUUAUGAAUCCAAUNNNNNNNNNNNNNNNNNNNNNNNNNUAUAUAUAAUAUUAUAUAUAUAUAUAUAUAUAAUUGAGCUCCUAAUGUUUUAAAAGUACUAAGUUAUUGGUGUUUGUAGAUUUUUAGCCAUUGGAUUAAGAGAUAUGCGGUUAGGAUGAUGUGGGCCCUUUAGGGUUGAGUAGCUCCUAAUGUUUUAAAAGUACCAAGUUAUUGGUGCUUGUAGAUUUUUAGCCAUUGGAUUAAGAAAUAUGCGGUUAGGAUGAUGUGGGCCCCCUAGGGUUGAGUGGAUGGUUGGUUGAAUAGUAUAAUCUAAUGGUUGAAAAUGAUCCGAGAAGUAAAUCUAACGGUAAAAAAUUUACAAGCACCAAGUGUUUGGUACUUUUACAAGCAUCAUAACUGGACUAUAUAUAUAUUUGUUUUCAAAAGUUUGAAAUGUCUAGGUUCGAUAUUUUUGAUAGAUCCAAGAUGUGAACUUAACUAAAUGAGAAGAACUUUAAUAACACUAGGAGUCCGACUAGACGCGAAUUUAGGACAUCCUGCUCUGAUAUCAUAUUUAACUAGUGAAAUACCCGCGCGAUGCUGCGGAUAUAAAAAUAUUUUUAUAAUAAAUUUUACUUUUUUUAAUAUUUUUAUAUAGUUUUAUAAGUCUAAUUAUUAAUUAAAUAAAAAUUAUAUAAAAAUAAUUUAAUAGUUAAAUAUAUUUAAAUAAAAGUCAUUAAAAUUGAUAUAUGCGCAAAGUAAAUUUAUACAACAAUUUAUUUUAUAAAGAUACAUAUGAAAAUGAUUUGAAAUAAAUCUAUCAAAAUAAUUUUAAAAAAUCAAUAAAUAGAAGGAAAAUAAAAUUAUAAAAGAAAUUGUUUAAUAAAAUUAAUUAUAUAUAAACAUAAAUACACUAUAUUUCUAAAAUUUUACUCCUGAAAUUUAAAUAUUAUAUUUUUUUAUACAACGAUAUUUUACAUGAUUUAAAUUACAUCUAUCAGAUUAGAUUUUAUUGCGCGAUUUAUUAUGCGUAUUAUUAAUAAAAUUUGGAAUUUAAAAUAUAAAAUAUAAAAUUAAAAUUUAAAAAUUUUAAAAUUUGAAAGUAUCAAAAUUUUAAAAUUUGAUAUCAAAAUUUAAUUACUAAUAAGCUGUUAUACAAUUUAUUAAUAAAAUUAAUUUUAUAUAUAUAUAUAUAUAUAUAUAUAU
rnacentral:lncRNA from 1 species